rnacentral:sRNA from 1 species
ACAGUCUCACCAUGGCCCGCACCGUGGUGCUCAUCACCGGCUGUUCCUCGGGCAUCGGCCUGCACUUGGCCGUACGUCUGGCUUCAGAUCCAUCCCAGAGCUUCAAAGUGUAUGCCACGUUGAGGGACCUGAAAACACAGGGCCGGCUGUGGGAGGCGGCCCGGGCCCUGGCAUGCCCUCCGGGAUCCCUGGAGACGUUGCAGCUGGACGUAAGGGACUCAAAAUCCGUGGCCGCUGCCCGGGAACGCGUGACUGAAGGCCGCGUGGACGUGCUGGGUGAGCCUCCUGGAAGCAUAUGGGCUCCUAGGAGCCUUCUCCGCCCUGCGUUGAAACCAACAUGUCCCCAGGCCCAGGGAGCACGAGGGGACAGGCCGUGCUGCGGGUGAUGCUGAGGCGGGCUGGUCGGGCCUCUUGUCUCCGCAGUGUGUAACGCAGGCCUGGGCCUGCUGGGGCCGCUGGAGGCGCUGGGGGAGGACGCCGUGGCCUCUGUGCUGGACGUGAAUGUAGUAGGGACUGUGCGGGUGCUGCAGGCCUUCCUGCCAGACAUGAAGCGGCGCGGUUCGGGACGCGUGUUGGUGACCGGGAGCGUGGGAGGAUUGAUGGGUGAGUGGUAGGGAGUGGCCUCCGCAGCUCCAGAUUCUUUGUGUGCGGAGCUGAGCCUUGAAGGCAGGUUCCGCGGAGGGGGGUGGAGGGGGGUGCCGUCAGCUUGGAGGGGCACCGUCUGCCCGGGGAUGACCCCCUGGCCGCUGCGCCUCAGGAACCUCGUCUCCCCACCUAAGGGCUGCCUUUCAAUGACGUUUAUUGCGCCAGCAAGUUCGCGCUCGAAGGCUUAUGCGAGAGUCUGGCGGUUCUGCUGCUGCCCUUUGGGGUCCAGUGAGUCAACACCCCCGUUCCCCGAACCCUCUUAACUCUGACCUAGAGACGCCGAGCACCCUGUCCUGCGGGAGCCGCUCUGGGGCGAUCUCCCUGGCCCUCUCUGCCCGGCUCACAUUAGCUGUGUGCCAGGCACUUGGGCUGGGCGCAUGGCACGCAUUGUG